UAGUUGGUGAGGUAAUGGCUCACCAAGGCAAUGACGCCUAACUGGUUUGAGAGGAUGAUCAGUCACACUGGAACUGAGACACGGUCCAGACUCCUACGGGAGGCAGCAGUGGGGAAUAUUGCACAAUGGAGGAAACUCUGAUGCAGCAACGCCGCGUGGAGGAUGACACUUUUCGGAGCGUAAACUCCUUUUAUAUAGGAAGAUAAUGACGGUACUAUAUGAAUAAGCACCGGCUAACUCCGUGCCAGCAGCCGCGGUAAUACGGAGGGUGCAAGCGUUACUCGGAAUCACUGGGCGUAAAGAGCGUGUAGGCGGGUUAAUAAGUUGGAAGUGAAAUCCUAUAGCUCAACUAUAGAACUGCUUUCAAAACUGUUAACCUAGAAUAUGGGAGAGGUAGAUGGAAUUUCUGGUGUAGGGGUAAAAUCCGUAGAGAUCAGAAGGAAUACCGAUUGCGAAGGCGAUCUACUGGAACAUUAUUGACGCUGAGACGCGAAAGCGUGGGGAGCAAACAGGAUUAGAUACCCUGGUAGUCCACGCCCUAAACGAUGUACACUAGUUGUUGCGAUGCUAGACAUUGCAGUAAUGCAGUUAACACAUUAAGUGUACCGCCUGGGGAGUACGGUCGCAAGAUUAAAACUCAAAGGAAUAGACGGGGACCCGCACAAGCGGUGGAGCAUGUGGUUUAAUUCGACGAUACGCGAAGAACCUUACCUGGACUUGACAUUUACAGAAUUUUUCAGAGAUGAAUUAGUGUCUGCUUGCAGAAACUGUAGGACAGGUGCUGCACGGCUGUCGUCAGCUCGUGUCGUGAGAUGUUGGGUUAAGUCCCGCAACGAGCGCAACCCACGUCGUUAGUUGCUAACAGUUCGGCUGAGAACUCUAACGAGACUGCCUGGGCAACCAGGAGGAAGGUGUGGACGACGUCAAGUCAUCAUGGCCCUUACGUCCAGGGCUACACACGUGCUACAAUGGGGCAUACAAAGAGCAGCGAUACCGCGAGGUGGAGCAAAUCUCAAAAAUGCCUCCCAGUUCGGAUAGUAGUCUGCAACUCGACUACUUGAAGUUGGAAUCGCUAGUAAUCGUAGAUCAGCAAUGCUACGGUGAAUACGUUCCCGGGUCUUGUACUCACCGCCCGUCACACCAUGGGAGUUGAACUCAUUCGAAGCGGGGAUGCUAAGAUAGCUACCCUCCACAGUGGAUUCAGCGACUGGGGUG
rnacentral:rRNA from 1 species